rnacentral:rRNA from 1 species
ACGGAAGGCAGCAGUGGGGAAUAUUGCACAAUGGGGGAAACCCGGAUGCAGCGACGCCGCGUGAGUGAAGAAGUAUUUCGGUAUGUAAAGCUCUAUCAGCAGGAAAGAAAAUGACGGUACCUGACUAAGAAGCCCCGGCUAACUACGUGCCAGCAGCCGCGGUAAUACGUAGGGGGCAAGCGUUAUCCGGAUUUACUGGGUGUAAAGGGAGCGUAGACGGCUUUGCAAGUCUGAAGUGAAAGCCCGGGGCUCAACCCCGGAACUGCUUUGGAAACUGUAGAGCUAGAGUGCAGGAGAGGUAAGUGGAAUUCCUAGUGUAGCGGUGAAAUGCGUAGAUAUUAGGAGGAACACCAGUGGCGAAGGCGGCUUACUGGACUGUAACUGACGUUGAGGCUCGAAGGCGUGGGGAGCAAACAGGAUUAGAUACCCUGGUA